rnacentral:rRNA from 1 species
UACGUAGGGUGCAAGCGUUGUCCGGAAUUAUUGGGCGUAAAGAGCUCGUAGGCGGUUUGUUGCGUCGGCUGUGAAAUCCCGAGGCUCAACCUCGGGUCUGCAGUCGAUACGAGCAAACUAGAGUGUUGCAGGGGAGACUGGAAUUCCUGGUGUAGCGGUGAAAUGCGCAGAUAUCAGGAGGAACACCGAUGGCGAAGGCGGGUCUCUGGGCAGUAACUGACGCUGAGGAGCGAAAGCGUGGGUAGCAAACAGG